AUGUCUAGAGGGUAUUUAAUAGGUCUGCCCCCACGUACAAUGUUUCUAGUUACAAGUAGCCUAGUCGUUCAUUCAAGUCAUUAUUCAGCUAAAGCACAUGCAGUAAGUUUGCCACAAAGCACAGGCAGAAGUAGCCUAAUAAUUGUGAAAAAUAAGACAUUUAAAUUUUUAAUGAAUAAACUAAUGUUUUCUUGUCAGCUGCAAGAUGAAAUUCACAGUGCUGACUCUCAUCUCCACAGGAUGCGCAUAAUCAGGGAAAUGUCUCCUUUUUUUACAAUUAUUGGGCUACUUCUGCUAAUGCAUGUGCUUGAGCGCGAAAUAUAUUAAGGCUCAUUAUGGAUUAUAUAUGUAAAUGUAGUAUAAUCCUGCGAUUAGUUGAAUAAUGACAAAUGAACGACUAGUAACUAGAAAAAUCUUACAUGGGAGGCAGACCUAUUAAAUACCCUCUAGACAUCUCUGUUAAAGUUUUUAAAGCAUUUUAUACACGUUUGCAUAAAUUCUUCUUUCAGAACGGUCUGUAACGGAGAGAUGCCUUAACACUGAUUUUUCCUCUGAAACACAAAAACGAAAAUUGAAAUAAAAUUGAUUUUUUUUUUUUUUUAGAAUGGCCAACCCUUCUCAGCAGAUAUUGUUGCUUCUGGUUUGUGCAUUUUAAAUAGGCUAUUUGAUCCGUUGUCCUUGUGGUAUAGGCUAUGUGGGAAAAACGUCACGUCAGUUGAAACAAAGAAUUAGUGAACAUAAGAGACAUUGAAUUACUUCUACAAAGACGCGAACUGUUUUGGAUUUACACCCUCCAAACUUUAUCACCUAUGGGUAUGAACGAUGAAGCAUUAUUUAAUGUAAUGCUAUAGUCAUGCAAUUGUUUUGAAUGAGGUGUUCUUUUCCACUAUGUAUUCAUGAUGAGUUUGAGUGACUGUGGAACCUGACUGAUUGUUAUAACUGUUUAGAAUUACAAUUUGAUGCUGUUUGAUGACGAUGUGUUGAUUGUGUCUUUUGGAUGAAUUUGUUAACCUAUAGGUGAUCUGGAUUGUUGUAACUAUAACAACUGUUUAUGAUGUGGUGCUAAUUAUAUACUCCCAAUGAGUUUAAUUAUUUGCAGAUGGAACUCUGUUAAUUGGUCAUGUGUUUAUCUUAAAAGAGAUGAAUUUGAACAUUUGUAUACUCCUGAUGAAGGUCGUGUGACCGAAACGUUGUGUGAUUAAAAAUUUAUUUUGCAAGUUAAGAUAGUGUGCGGGAGAUCCUUAUAUGUUUAUACGACCCACCAGGUCUUAUUUUUUCUACGCACCUAUUACUUACAGGUGUGCGAUGGAGUUCGUUCACUAAAUAGGCUACAAAAAAAAAAAAAAAUAAUAAUAAUAAUAAUAAUAUUAAUAAUAAUAAUGUCUCCAAAAACUAAAAAAAAAAAUUUUUGUCAUGUCUGUAAUGCAUGUGUAUUCCCAAAUCUAAAAAAGCCUAUAAAACAUGAUAGACGGAUCAUACUGAUGUCUGGACUCUGUUUGGGAUUUAGAAAAACAUAAAGAGAUGGUUCAAUAUAUUGGUUAUAGGCUACAUUCUGUGAGAAUUUAUAUUUCAUAGUCUAAAAAAAAAUAUUGUUUAGACGAAACAAAAUAAAAUUAAAGCAACAGUUUGCGAAUUUAUUUAUUUAUUUAUUUAUUUUUGAGUUAAGGCAACUUCCUCUGAAGUUAUAAUAACUAAUAAACUAUAUUGCGCUAUACAGUAGUCAACAUUUGAAGUGGAUCAAAACCUUUCUUCAAAGUUGCCCUAAAACCAAAAUGACGAGUCCUAUCUAAACCUGUUCUGCAAGUUUGAUACCCUCAUAAGACACUGUGCAUAUGAAAGACCAAGAGAUUCACACAUUUAUAUCAACCCCCACAAGCUAUACAGAACUACCCCAACCCCCUCCAGCUGAACUGAACUCGGUCUGUUUGUUGGCUGCGAGGAACGGUGUGUUGUCAUGUUACUGGGUUGAAACAUGCCUGCACUCACAGCAGACCUACUCUUUUUAUUCAUUAUUUUCCCGCAGCCCAUAUUAUUGUUUUUCACAAGACCAUAAUAAUAACAAAUUAUCAAUUGAUAAUUAAUCAUUAUUUUACGAAAAUCAUUGUUAUUUGUGAACGUAGAGUUUGCGGAAGGCUUUAAGACCAAGUGGAGUCCUCCAUCAGCUGCUCCCGCUUCACAGCGCGCGGGACUCGCGCUCACUGACCCAGCUUCAAAGUCCGCAAGUAGCAAGACAGAAGACGUAUUUCAUUGUCAGUUAAUGCUGUUAAUUAGAGAGUUAAAUAGAGAGAGAGAGCGAGAGAGAGAGAGAGAAAUAAAAAAAACCCCGUGUUGGCUAUUCCUAAACUCGGAGCUCAUUAUUGAAGUACAAAUCCAAACACCAGAAGCAAACUCUCAGUGUUCUUUCAUUGAAAAGUAUGCAUUUUGUUUAUUCACAGGCUAUAUGGUUGAAAUAAUAUUUUAGUUCAAAACUUUAAGUGCCAUUGUUUAAAAAAAAUGCUUUAUUGGGUAACGUUUCAUAGACCU
ensembl:lncRNA